UUUCCAGGGCCCCACCCCCCGCUGGGGAUGGCCCCACCCCUUGCAGUGGGCGCAGCCCAUGGGGGGUGCGACCGAGGGAUAGGCUGGUCACUGGGGCUCAGGCUGCCACGUAUGCAGCACGCAGCUGCUUAGGGCACCAUGAAAUUUGGGGCAGUUUGGUGCCCCAAAUUUCAUGGUGCCCUGUGCAGCUGCAUAUGCCUAAGGAUGGCCCUGAUAAGCUGUGAAGAAAAUCAGUAUCUUCGUAAUGGUAAAGGUCAAAAAUUGCAAGGAAAAGAAAUAACCUUUUCAAUCUCCUAAGAGAAUAGUGCUGAGUAAAAGAAAAAUUGAACUGUGAGAAAGGCCAGGGUGCUGAAACAGUUAAACACAUGCAGAUGGAAGCCAUGAUUUCUUCCCCUUUCUUUGUAUAUUCAGCACUAUUAUGUAGUUUUGUUCGAUCCAUUUUGAUUUCCUAAAUCCUGUCUUUGCAAACCAUAGCUUAAAGAAAGUAUAAACCCUCUCCCCACAGGACUUUUUAGGAAAACCACCUCCUUCUCAAAGGGAUGCCAUCUGUAAUAUGUUAUGAAGGAAACAGAAGGUACAACAAAGUUAAAAGGCUCUGCCUAAUAAAUCCUGGAAGAAGAUGCAAGGGUUCAUAUCAAUCUAUCACGGUAUUAGAUGGCAAUUUCGACACACUAUUAGGACAAGUAAUUAGUAUGGGAGAGCCGAUUUUAAGCAAGAAAUAAACUAUACAGGCAGGAAUGUGAAAACAUAGGAGGCAAAGGAUGAAGUAUAUUAGGCUUAUACUGUGUUGCAAAUCAGGUUAAUAAAGGUUAACAGAGGAUCAAAGUCCACUGAAGAACAAAAGGUUGCUGGGGUUUUCCCCAAGACAAUAGAGGCUGAUGAUCUGGAUCAUUUUCUUGCAGUUGGGUCUCACAAGUUCUGCAUGUAAGGACCAAAGUAGUUCUGAUAUUCAGAAAGGGUAUGCUGAGUACCUAGCUGAUUCCUGUCAGAAAAUAAGCAUGAGACAGGAUGAGCGAUCUGCAAGUAUGAUCUGGACUAGAAUGUGGAUGUCAAUAUUCCAAGCUAGAUGUUUGCCUAUCUGCUGACCUGCCAGGUGAACAAAAAUAUUUGCUUGUGUACACUGAACACAUUUGAUUUAGAAACACUGAGUCACAAUAAAGAUAGAAUCUCACAAUGCCAAUUUUUUAGAGUCACUCUGCUGGGUUGAACUGAACUUUAAUACAGGUAACUACAAUACUACCCUAACAAUAUAAUAGUCAUUAAUCUAUUGAACAUAACAUAAGAACAGCCAUAUUGGGUCAGACCAAAGGUCCAUCUAGUCCAGUAGCCUGUCUUCCGACAGUGGCCAAUGCCAGGUGCCCCAGCGGGAAUGAACAGAGCAGGUAAUCAAGUGAUCCAUCCUGUCGCCCUUUCCCAGCUUCUGGCAGACAGAGGCUAGGGACUCCAUCCCUGUCCAUCGUGGCUAUUAGCCAUUGAUGGAUGUAUCCUCCAUGAAUUUAUCCAGUUCUUUUUUGAACCCUGUUAUAGUCUUAUGUUCUACUGUUAAUAAGGGCAUUAUUUUACUAGGCUUUUGCUGAAGGGAUGGCUUCAGGGAUAAGAAGUUUGGAUGAGGGAAUUUACAAUUUUCUUGGGUGAUUUCUAUGAGAUGGGGUGGGGUUGGUUUAGAAGUUGUCAUAUUUUGAACUUUUAUCCUUAGUUUUGUAUAAGGAAGUAUUUGUACAAGGUUCUAGAGCAUAAAAAUAAAGAGAUGUAGAGAAAGUGAGAAAUAAUGUGUUAUGUUAACUGAAAGAAGACGAGUGGAGGCAUUUAGGUACAUAAUUAAAUUAGAAUCUUUCUUGUAUGAUAUGUACAAUAGAGUUCUAUAAAGUGAGUAGAGGUUUAAAUAUUUAGAUGAUUUAAGUCCAAGCUGUUCUCUGUAGCGUACUCCUCGAAUGGCAGUCAGAUUUGUUCAGACCCUUCCCCCUCUGAAAUGAUAAGCUGCUUUUUAAGGAGGAAGAGCAUAUUUGAGGUUAGUGAUCUAUCUGUCUCUUCAGAGAUGAUUUUUCCUUCCAAAUAAUGUGGGUUGUUGCCUACUAAUAAGCAGUUUAUAUAAACAUCUCUUUAUAUUUUCCUAGUUUCUACAUUUAUCAGAAGCAAACAAAAUUUGAGACACAGAGAUAAUUCUAUUGGUUAUUCUAUUUGUUGUGUUCCCAACCAGUAUUUUUGUACAUUGGGACAGUUCUAAACAUGUUCAUAAUAAUCUCAGUCCUGUCUUUUUAUUAUUGACAAAGUAAAUAAUAGUCUUUCCUAAAUAAAACUAUUCUUUGCACAAUAAGAUACGUACAAUGCAGAAAAUGUUAUAGUAUAAAUCAGAGGUCUCCAAACUUUUUGAAUCGCGCACCCGCAGGGCCAGCUCUGGGGAAGCAAAAAAAAAAAAAGAAAAGAAGAAGAGCUGUAGCAGGCGUGCUAUCGAAGACGGAGCGGGGAGAGCUGAGCUGUCGCCGGCGUGCCACUGAAGAAUAAAAGGUCCAGGAGAGCUGCCGGCACGGUGGCGGCAGUGCUCCUCCUGCCACGCACCCCACUUUGGAGACCACUGGUAUAAAUAACCCUUAAUAGACAGGAACUGAUUUUUUUUUUAUUCACACCUCAAAACAAUUCUAUGCAGACUAUUCUAAAUGGUAAGUCUUUCUCAUUUUUGGUUUUGUUUUAUCUUCUGAGAGAUUCACAUUAAGUUCUAAAAUUACAUAAAGCUUGGAGGAAAUCUUUUCUAAACCAAAAUUAUUGAAGCAAGUUUCUCAUAGUCUUAAAAGUUGUCUUAUUAACUUCUUUCAGACUGAAUUUUUGAUCUACUUUUAGAAAAAUAUCUUUAAUUUGAAAACACGAUGGUAAGAUUUUUUUUUCUGUUAUGAAGUGCAUUUUUUUUAAAGAAAGAGCUUUCUGUAUUUCUCUUCCCUGAUUUGAGUCUACACACUCAAACGAAGAAAUGUUGCUGAUAAAUUACACUAAAUUCACAUGAAAAGCUAUCUCAACAAUAGAUGGAAGUCUGCUUUGUAGCUUAUGGAGAAUUGUGUUGUGUGUGUUCAAAUGAGAUCUUUACAUUCUCCCUUCUGCAAGUUAUUUUGGCAGUAGCCAUGGGCCUCUGAGGUCAGGCUGGCAUUGUGAUGUCACAAAGAUCUUGCCUUCACUAGGAAAAAAGAUGUGCUCUUAACUCAUGUUGGCAAUACAUGGUAACUAACUUGAGCUAAAAUUCUAGUGAAAACAAGGCAGUUGGUAGUUUUAACUCAAGUUAGCAGGUUCAGGUAAAUCCUAGGGCCCCCAUAGUCAAGGACCUCGCUGGACUGGUCCAACCUCUUCAGAGACCCAGUACCUUUGUUAAAUUUCUGAGUUAGCUGGCUUUAUUGUUAGCCAUUUUAGCUUGUUUAUUUUCUUUAUAAAAGUAUUUCUUUUAUUAGUUCACUCACCUCACAGAUCCUGUGAUGGAACUGAAGGGGAAGAGGCCAGGAUUUUAGAGGGUGCCUCUUGUCCUGUGUAUUCCCCACUUCAGACCUCCCACACAAGGUAUCUAACUUGCUUGUGGGAGGACACUCUCUUUCCUGUCACGUGAGCUGCAGCACACAAUAAUAAAGGGGCAGGCAAUUACUUCACAAUUGCUGUCUAAACUGGACAGAUUAUGUACUGAAGAGACCUACAAAUUAGUAUCUGUUCCUCUCCCAUUAGAGAUUAGUUAACAUGCAGCAGCUCCUUUGGCAUAUUCCCAUUGUAGGAAUUGGCAGAGCUGCUAUGUGAAGCUCUAGCUACACGUUUGCUAAACGUUAUGCACUAGACUUAGCCUCCUGGUAUGAUGUUCAGUUUGGCAGAGUGGUGCUUUGGUAGAAAGUGUUUCAUUAGAACUCCAUGUCCUAUCUUCCUCAGAUGACAGUCCUGCUUAUCAAACUAUCCCAUGAGUGGAAAUGUGCAGCGGCCACUCCCUUUCCCUUGGAAUCCUAUUUACAAUUUCAGACCUGAGGAUGCAGUUGGAGAGGACUGAGGAAGCUGAUGGAGGUGCCUGACUCUCCACCUUAUAGCUUGAGCCUUGCAGAGAUGCAAAAUUUGUAUCUGCAUCCAAUCUGUGAUCUGCAAACAUGGAUGCAAAUAUCCGUAGAUAUAAAGCAGAUAUCCUCAGAAUGUGCAGGAACAAUGAAGGGAAGUGAGAUGGGACACGAGCACUUUAAACAACACUGCUAUGAAACGUUCCACCCUCAGAGCUGCACUGCUGGCAUAUCCCCCUGAGUGUGAGUGCAGAGAAUCCAUCACAAAGAAUGCUGGUUGCAGGAAGUGUGUGUUCCCACCACUGUUUAAUUGUCUGAAGAGAGAGGCUGCAAAGCAUCUGGGGUCUUCCAGCAACUGAAGAGAAGACAUAAAGCUGCAUUUUCCUUUCUCCUGUUUUUCCUCUUCCAGCGUGUGUCUUAAGAAGAAACAAACUUAGACUUUUUCAGCAAAACUGGAGAGCUAACAUCUACCACCUAAAAUUGGCUCUUUGUCCACAAAAGAACCUUUAACACCAUCUGAAAAACUACCAAUCAAGUGCAACUACAAGCUCUAUGCAAAUAAGAGGCUAUAAGAGAAAUAGUUACAAUGAACAUUUACUUAUGUUUUAAGUGUUGGUUUUUUUUCUUUUGCUUCACUUUUUACAUGUAUUUAAUAAAUAUUAAAAAAAACUUCUUUGAUACCCAAUGCACAACACAAUCCUGAACACAAAUUACUGUUAAUAUUGUGGCAGUAAAAAAAUAAUUAAAAAACCCAGAUGACGUUUAUACUGUAGUAAAAUGGUGAGUGCCCAGGGCUUCCUGGAGUUUUGGUAGGGUCCAAUUUUGAAAAUUUCCUCCCAAUUCUGUUUUAGUUUGUGUAACCAGUUUCUGCCUAACAGAUUUUGCCUUUGUCCUUGGAUCACUGGGACUAGUAACCUUUUUCUUUUGGCACAGAAUCUACCACUUGGAUGGGUUCUGUGGCGUAGACACACGGGAUCACUCCUGCAUUUGCUAGUGGACUCAGUCACUGUUGAUACGUAGAUUCAUUGAUCACAGUAGCUAAAGCCCCUGUAUUACAUGUGUACUGACUGAUUGUUUAACUCUACUGUUACUUCAUAAGGUCCCACUUUCUUCUCUUCUUGACAGUAUCUAGCCCAUAUCCCUUCCUUUGUGUCUUCUUCCCCCCUCAAGGUAAAAUGUCCUCUGCUUUCUUCCUUUUCCUCUGGCCUUUUGGAGUCUACCUUCCUGGCUUGAUUGAUAGUCACCUUUGCAUUUUCUGGCUACGUGUCCAAUCUUGAGGCUUUUUGUGACACUGGUCUUUACAGACGAUGUAAAAUGAGCUCCACAGCAGAAACACCUUCAGGAGCCUGCAUCCCUUUCAGCUGGUUUUGCAUUUUGUUUAUUGAGUCAGUCUGAUCGCACCUGUAUUCUAAGUGAAAAUCUUGUAAGUUUUUCACCGCUGCUUCCAUUGCUGUUGCUAAUUCUAUUGCUUUGGGCCAGGUUAAGUUUCCUUUUGCCAGCAAUCAUCUUUGAAUUCUCUCAUUAUUAACAUCACAAACCAGUCCAUCCCACAGCAUAUCCAUUGGGACAUUUAACUGAAUAGUGCUCAUUUGAAAUCUUUUUAGCUCUGCCACAUGUACAGCUACAGUUUCACUUUGCCUCCUCAUUCUACUGUAAAAUGUUCUACAGUAAUGUUUGGUUUUGGCGUGUAGUGCUCUGGUAAAACCUUCUUCAUGUCUUCUAAACUUGUAUCUCUGGGUUACUGAGACUGUAACUAACUCCUUGACAGAAAGUAAAUUUUAUUGCCACAGAACUGUUUGUCCUUAUUUGCAAGAAAAUUGUGGCCCAGUCUUUGUAAGUAUUUCUUUAUUAAACUCCUUAGUUUUCCCAUAAAUUACAUUAUUAUGUUGUUUUCAGUUUUGAAAAGGACUGCUGUUCAAUGCAACAAAAAUAAGCCUACUUGCAGAGUGAGAACCUGCUGCUUUAUUCAACUGCAUCACAGAGUGGCAGGGAAAAAAUCCCACUGGAUAAAACAGGAGGUUAAGAAGGGAUGAAGCCAGGCUCCAUCCAUCCGGGUAACCUAGUUAACCCUAUCAUGACUGCUUUACGGACUAUACUUUCCUAACAAUUUUAUACAGUUCUCACAGCACCCCAUCCCUAGUCUGGAUCUCAAGGUAGAGAGCUGCUGGUUUCUCUGGGGUUCAUAAUGCUCCUGGUUGAAGGGGCUUUUAAGUCAUUGUAACAGCUGUCUCCUAUUACCAGAUCUCCAUUGCUGAUGUGACGGGAUAUCUAGGUUCCCUCUUGGACAUAAUUAAUAGGUGUAGGACUUACUUUGGUCAAAAGAGAGGGGGAUCCUAAAUCUACUGCCACCUCAUUUUUUCCCCUUCAGUUAGAUUCAGAUAAGGUUCCUAGCCCUUGAUUCUUUGCAGCGGUAAUGGUCAGGAAAUCAGCAAUACUUUAAAUAUUUAACAUAAUUCUCCCCUACCAUCCUCUCUCUCUUGCUUGCUCUCUUCAGUAACUCAAUAGCAGCUAAAGGAAUUUUUCUAAAAUUUCCCCAAAAAAAUAAUCUCUGGGAUGAGACUGAUGUUGAAACUUUUCAUGUUCAGUGAGGACUUUUUCAGAAAAUUAUGGGCAUGUGAAAUCAAGGUGCUAUGAAGGUCCUGACAAGAACUAUAUAUUUUGUAUACAUUACAUGUGCAUGUUCAAAUACUACCUUCUGCUGCAGGUGUCAAUUUCAUUGUCAGACCUGUUCAAAUGUAUAUGAUUUAUAUUUCUCUUCAGUAGGUCACAAUCUUUGCAGCACCAAGUGCUACACUGGCAAUUUAUCAAGAGUCCAGUGGGCACAGCCGAUUUGCAUUUUCAUUUACAUUACUUUACGUGAAUUUGCUGUCAAUUUGUAUUCUCUUAGUGCUGCAAUAAAA